rnacentral:rRNA from 1 species
GUUUACAGCCAUAUCAAGCUCAAUGCACUGGUUUUCAUACAAUCACCAUAGUUAAGCAACAUCAAGCCAAGUUAGUACAUAGAUGGGUGACCAAUUUGGAAACCUAGGUGCUGUAAGCA